AUUGAACGCUGGCGGCAGGCCUAACACAUGCAAGUCGAGCGGAUGAAGGGAGCUUGCUCCUGGAUUCAGCGGCGGACGGGUGAGUAAUGCCUAGGAAUCUGCCUGGUAGUGGGGGAUAACGUCCGGAAACGGGCGCUAAUACCGCAUACGUCCUGAGGGAGAAAGUGGGGGAUCUUCGGACCUCACGCUAUCAGAUGAGCCUAGGUCGGAUUAGCUAGUUGGUGGGGUAAAGGCCUACCAAGGCGACGAUCCGUAACUGGUCUGAGAGGAUGAUCAGUCACACUGGAACUGAGACACGGUCCAGACUCCUACGGGAGGCAGCAGUGGGGAAUAUUGGACAAUGGGCGAAAGCCUGAUCCAGCCAUGCCGCGUGUGUGAAGAAGGUCUUCGGAUUGUAAAGCACUUUAAGUUGGGAGGAAGGGCAGUAAGUUAAUACCUUGCUGUUUUGACGUUACCAACGGAGUAAGCACCGGCUAACUUCGUG
rnacentral:rRNA from 1 species